rnacentral:rRNA from 1 species
CCUACGGGAGGCAGCAGUGGGGAAUAUUGCGCAAUGGGCGAAAGCCUGACGCAGCGACGCCGCGUGAGGGAUGAAGGUCUUCGGAUCGUAAACCUCUGUCAGCAGGGAAGAACGGUCACGGAGCUAAUCAGCAGUGAAUUGACGGUACCUGCAAAGGAAGCACCGGCUAACUCCGUGCCAGCCGCCGCGGGAAUACGGAGGGAGCGAGCGUUAAUCGGAAUGACUGGGCGUAAAGCGCUCGUAGGCGGUAUGUAAAGUCAAGGGUGAAAUCCCCGCGCUCAACGUGGUAACUGCCUUUGAUACUGGCAACCUGGCGUGUGUGAGAGGAUAGUGGAAUUCCAGGU